GAUGAACGCUGGCGGCGUGCCUAAUACAUGCAAGUCGAGCGAACGGACGAUAAGCUUGCUUCUCUGAUGUUAGCGGCGGACGGGUGAGUAACACGUGGAUAACCUACCUAUAAGACUGGGAUAACUUCGGGAAACCGGAUCUAAUACCGGAUAAUAUUUUGAACCGCAUGGUUCAAAAGUGAAAGACGGUCUUGCUGUCACUUAUAGAUGGAUCCGCGCUGCAUUAGCUAGUUGGUAAGGUAACGGCUUACCAAGGCAACGAUGCAUAGCCGACCUGAGAGGGUGAUCGGCCACACUGGAACUGAGACACGGUCCAGACUCCUACGGGAGGCAGCAGUAGGGAAUAUUCCGCAAUGGGCGAAAGCCUGACGGAGCAACGCCGCGUGAGUGAUGAAGGUCUUCGGAUCGUAAAACUCUGUUAUUAGGGAAGAAAAUAUGUGUAAGUAACUGUGCACAUCUUGACGGUACCUAAUCAGAAAGCCACGGCUAACUACGUG
rnacentral:rRNA from 1 species